CGAGCUAACAUGACAGGUGUUAGCACCUAACUGUUAGCGAGCUAACACGACAGGUGUUAGCACUUAACUGUUAGCGAACUGACACGACAGGUGUUAGCACCUAACUGUUAGCGAGCUAACACGACAGGUGUUAGCACCUAACUGUUAGCGAGCUGACACGACAGGUGUUAGCACCUAACUGUUAGCGAGCUAACACGACAGGUGUUAGCACCUAACUGUUAGCGAGCUAACACAACAGGUGUUAGCACCUAACUGUUAGCAAGCUAACAUGACAGGUGUUAGCAUCUAACUGUUAGCGAGCUAACAUGACAGGUGUUAGCAUCUAACUGUUAGCGAACUAACAUGACAGAAGUCAGCACUUAAUUCUUAGCGAGCUAACAUGACAGGUGUUAGCACCUAACUGUUAGCGAGCUAACACGACAGGUGUUAGCACCUAACUGUUAGCGAACUGACACGACAGGUGUUAGCACCUAACUGUUAGCGAGCUGACACGACAGGUGUUAGCACCUAACUGUUAGCGAGCUAACACGACAGGUGUUAGCACCUAACUGUUAGCGAGCUAACACGACAGGUGUUAGCACCUAACUGUUAGCGAGCUAACACGACAGGUGUUAGCACCUAACUGUUAGCGGGCUAACAUGACAGGUGUUAGCACCUAACUGUUAGCAAGCUAACAUGACAGGUGUUAGCAUCUAACUGUUAGCGAGCUAACAUGACAGGUGUUAGCAUCUAACUGUUAGCGAACUAACAUGACAGAAGUCAGCACUUAAUUCUUAGCGAGCUAACAUGACAGGUGUUAGCAUCUAACUGUUGGCGGGCUAACAUGACAGUGUUAGCACCUAAAUGUUAGCGGGCUAACAUGACAGGUGUUAGCACCUAGCUGUUAGCGAGCUAACAUGACAGGUGUUAGCACCUAACUGUUAGCGAGCUAACUUGACUGAAGUCAGCACCUAGUUCUUGACGAGCUAACAUGACAGGUGUUAGCAUCUAACUGUUAGCGGGCUAACAUGACAGGUGUUAGCACAAAACUGUUAGCGAGCUAAUCUAACAAGUGUUAGUUUGUAUAAAGACUGAAUGUUAGCUACAAAGAUGUUUUUUUCGGAGUUUUUAAGCGUGCAAAACAGCUAAAUCCGUUCGCAUGUUAGCAAUGUAAACGUCUUUGGCGUAAGACAUGCUAUAAUCUCGCGGUUUUUGGCGGCAAGCACAUCCGGCGCCACUCUAGCUUUCCGGACUAACUUGACAUGCAUGUUGUUGUAUUUUUUUUAUGGUUGUCUUCUGACACCAACCAGCGGGCGUGACUGAAGCCAAAAUGGAUAAGACAAUAAGAAAAAAAGAGAGAGAAAAAAAAAGCAAUAAUAUUAAUAACGAUAAAAAGCACAGGGCUGUUUUUCCAACUAAUCGUCAAGUCUUUGUUCAUGUACAUAUUGUCAGGUUCAAACAUGGAUGACAUCUAUUAAAACAGACAAGAAGCCAGGAAAUAAACAGAGACAGGAUUCCAUUUUGCUCAAUUUGAGGAGAAACGUGUCGACCUGUAACCUCUUACAGUGUCGCCCACGCUCUGGCGAAAAAAGGUUCCCGACUCGUCUUUUAUUUGGAUAUUCCCUGUUUCUAAAGGAAUAUGUAAACAGACAUUGUUUUUGGUCACAUUAACACAAAAGAAAAAGAUGCCACGGGCUUGGACUGGUCCUGGAUCGAGCUUGGGCAAGUCUUGGAUCACAAUAGAUAACCCCUCCCGUCUCCUCCCAUCGUACACAGCGGAAUUUUCCAAGCCUUUGACUUGGGGCAACAAAGACAGCCUCUUGUCUGUUCACUGGGAACUGAGAGAACGGGAAGUUUUUUUUAUCAUUGACAUGCAAUUUUUCGGACACAUAUUCUUAUAAUGCCACUUCUUUUUAUGGACGUGAUGUCGUCGUGAAAAAAAAUCCAACUUUGAAAUGGACACAAAAAAGCGUUGAGCGGACGCUCCAUUUUUUUCUUCUUCUUCUUGGCCUGCUGUGUCCUUUCCUCCACUUUCUCUUUUCGCCUGCUUUGUCUUUGUGGACUUCUUAUCGAUUUUUGCAUGCGUGUGAUGAUGAUGAUGACGACGAUUAAGGCACAAAGAUGAUGAAGAUGCAUAACCUGAUCUCUGUACAGUUUUUUGGGGAUGACACUUGCACUUUGUUACUUUUUUCUACAAGACGUGCAGGAAUGUUGUCAUCUUUUUUUUUUUUUUUUUUACGGACUGUGCGAAUGUGAUGUAAAUAAGGAGAAUGCUGAGGGUGACGACGUGUUUGUUUUUGCGAGAAGGCCAAAACACUUUGUAACGGGACAACAAACAUUAAAGUAUCGUUUUUAACAUUU